rnacentral:sRNA from 1 species
CCACACGAAAGAACAACACCAACAUCGCUUUGGCUGCGCGAAAUUACCCAAAAAUAAAUGUUUUGCGACAUUAUGAGCUCGUAUUAGUGGUGCAAAGUGGUACUAGUGGUUUUCUGAGCACCCGCAAAGUGACCGUUUUCGAAUCGCCCCUUUGUUUUUCGCGUGUUCUUGUCGGCGUUUUCCCACUUGUUUUUUACGCACACUACGCGCCAGUUGCAUGUGUGUGUGUGGGCGAGUGUUCGUGUGAAUAAAAAAUCGAUUCUGUUGUGAUGCAAACAAAACGAACAUUUCUGUAGAGCUAAGAGGACAACAAUAAAACAAUAACUAUGUUUCAACACCAAAAGCUUAAGUGCCAUUUGGCGAGUGAGUGUGAGUGAGUCCGUCAGCCAACGAGUAAGUCUGACAGUGACACAGCCAGUGUGUAAAUAAAAAGAGUAUUUAAAAUUAUUGAAAAGCCCCAUUGUUGU